CAUGCAGGUCGAGGGGCAGCAUUUUAGUUUGCUUGCAAACUAAAGAUGGCGACCGGCGCACGGGCUGAGUAACACGCUAUCCAACCUGCCGAUAACUCGGGGAUAGCCUUUCGAAAGAAAGAUUAAUAUCCGAUAGUAUAUUAAAACCGCAUGGUUUUACUAUUAAAGAAUUUCGGUUAUCGAUGGGGAUGCGUUCCAUUAGUUUGUUGGCGGGGUAACGGCCCACCAAGACUACGAUGGAUAGGGGUUCUGAGAGGAAGGUCCCCCACAUUGGAACUGAGACACGGUCCAAACUCAUACGGGAGGCAGCAGUGAGGAAUAUUGGUCAAUGGACGAGAGUCUGAACCAGCCAAGUAGCGUGAAGGAUGACUGCCCUAUGGGUUGUAAACUUCUUUUAUAUGGGAAUAAAGUAUUCCACCGGUGGGAUUUUGUAUGUACCAUAUGAAUAAGGAUCGGCUAACUCCCUGCCCAGCAGCCGCGGUAAUACGGAAGGAUCCCNAGCGUUAUCCGGAAUUUAUUGGGUUUAAAGGGAGCGUAGGUGGAUUGUUAAGUCAGUUGUGAAAGUUUGCGGCUCAACCGUAAAAUUGCAGUUGAAACUGGCAGUCUUGAGUACAGUAGAGGUGGGCGGAAUUCGUGGUGUAGCGGUGAAAUGCUUAGAUAUCACGAAGAACUCCGAUUGCGAAGGCAGCUCACUAGACUGCAACUGACACUGAUGCUCGAAAGUGUGGGUAUCAAACAGGAUUAGAUACCCUGGUAGUCCACACAGUAAACGAUGAAUACUCGCUGUUUGCGAUAUACAGUAAGCGGCCAAGCGAAAGCAUUAAGUAUUCCACCUGGGGGAGUACGCCGGCAACGGUGAAACUCAAAAGNAAUUGACGGGGGCCCGCACAAGCGGAGGAACAUGUGGUUUAAUUCGAUGAUACGCGAGGAACCUUACCCGGGCUUAAAUUGCAUUUGAAUAAUCUGGAAACAGGUUAGCCGCAAGGCAAAUGUGAAGGGGCUGCAUGGUUGUCGUCAGCUCGUGCCGUGAGGUGUCGGCUUAAGUGCCAUAACGAGCGCAACCCUUAUCUUUAGUUACUAACAGGUCAUGCUGAGGACUCUAGAGAGACUGCCGUCGUAAGAUGUGAGGAAGGUGGGGAUGACGUCAAAUCAGCACGGCCCUUACGUCCGGGGCUACACACGUGUUACAAUGGGGGGUACAGAAGGCAGCUACCUGGCGACAGGAUGCUAAUCCCAAAAACCUCUCUCAGUUCGGAUCGAAGUCUGCAACCCGACUUCGUGAAGCUGGAUUCGCUAGUAAUCGCGCAUCAGCCAUGGCGCGGUGAAUACGUUCCCGGGCCUUGUACACACCGCCCGUCAAGCCAUGAAAGCCGGGGGUANCCUGAAGUACGUAACCGCAAGGAGCUUCCNAGG
rnacentral:rRNA from 1 species